rnacentral:rRNA from 1 species
CUUUCCCUCUUUCUUUAGGCCUAACACAUGCAAGUCGAACGGCAGCACAGUAAGAGCUUGCUCUUACGGGUGGCGAGUGGCGGACGGGUGAGGAAUACAUCGGAAUCUACUUUUUCGUGGGGGAUAACGUAGGGAAACUUACGCUAAUACCGCAUACGGCCUACGGGUGAAAGCAGGGGAUCUUCGGACCUUGCGCGAUUGAAUGAGCCGAUGUCGGAUUAGCUAGUUGGCGGGGUAAAGGCCCACCAAGGCGACGAUCCGUAGCUGGUCUGAGAGGAUGAUCAGCCACACUGGAACUGAGACACGGUCCAGACUCCUACGGGAGGCAGCAGUGGGGAAUAUUGGACAAUGGGCGCAAGCCUGAUCCAGCCAUACCGCGUGGGUGAAGAAGGCCUUCGGGUUGUAAAGCCCUUUUGUUGGGAAAGAAAAGCAGCAGGUUAAUACCCCGCUGUUCUGACGGUACCCAAAGAAUAAGCACCGGCUAACUUCGUG